rnacentral:misc_RNA from 1 species
CGCCGGCAUCGAUUUCGACCACGGCACCGGCCACGGCGUCGGCAGCUAUCUGUCGGUCCACGAAGGCCCGGCGCGCAUUUCCAAGCUCGGCACCACGCCGCUGAAACGCGGCAUGAUCCUGUCCAAUGAACCGNNNNNNGCCUUCGGCAUCCGCAUCGAGAACCUCGAACUGGUGGUCGAAGCGAAGAUCGAAGGCGCGGAAAAACCGAUGAACGCGUUCGAGACGCUGACGCUCGCGCCGAU